CUGUGUUUUGAGAAAGGGGAAGUCCAGCAAUUUACCUUAAGUCACUUGUUUCAAGAAGGAAGCCCCUGCAGUUGGCAGAAGGUGGCGGAAGGAGGAAGGCUGCCCAAAGAGAGAAAGGAGGAUUCUCGGAGCGCCGCCACGUUGUGACUCUAUGCUGAGCAAGUCUCCUCUCUGGCCUUUUCUCAUUUGGGAAACAGGACAGUGAUCUUUAUCUCACCCACCCCUCUGCCUUGUACUAGUAUCAGUUAGUGUGUGUGAAGAACUGGGAAUAUGUAAAUGUUGUGCAACUGGAAGGUCUUGAAAUGGCCCCCGAGU
rnacentral:lncRNA from 1 species